ensembl:lncRNA
CCCUCGAGUGUAAUUGCCUAAUUGCUUUUUUUUCCCUCCUCCAUCCAGGGGCUCUGCUUAACGUCAGCUGGGCAGGAGCUCAUAAACAGGGCCACGGCGGCUGGAAGCAUCUCCCUCAAUGUCAGAGGCUCAGAGAAGAGAGCCUGGAGAUCUGAGGCUGGGCCGGGGGGUCUGCUGGCGGCCGAGCCCACACCCAUUGGUUGAACCCGGGAUGAAUGGCCUCGCUGACAGCCAAUGGGGCCAGUGGAGGGGCUUAUUCAACCCUCUGGGUGGGCUUGGACUGGGCUCGACCGUGCGGCUGCUCUGUUCCAUCAGCGGGCCUUCUGGCUCCACUACAGAGAGCGGAUCACUUCAGGACAUCAUCAUCUCACAGCAUCUCCUGCUCCUGCUCCUGCUCCUGCUCCUGCUCCUGCUCCUGCUCCUGCUCCUGCUCCUGCUCCAGGCGUGGCCCAGGGGUUUAUCUGACACACUGCCUCCUCUGGUGUGGGUGUAUUCCUUUUUGUUGUAAACAUUGUGAGAUUAUUCAACUUCA